GGAGAAGUGGCAGAGCUGGUUGAAUGUACCUGACUCGAAAUCAGGCAUACGCGCAAGCGUAUCGAGGGUUCGAAUCCCUCCUUCUCCGCCA
rnacentral:tRNA from 3 species